CUGCCAACAAUUUAAUGCUUCAGUUCCUCCAGUACCCUUGAGUAGAUGGCAUCUGGUCUGAAUUUUGGCUCUCUUUGAGGAUGCAUGAUAGAACAGGAAACACUAGAGCUCUGGAUUGACACCUUUGCCCCAAAUAGACACUGGAUUCAUAUGUUGAAGACUUAACCCACAAUGUGAUGGUACUUGGAGAUGAGGCCUUUGGGAGAAAUAGCAAGACAGUGAACAUUUUGUAAGCCAAGAGAGCGCUCACCAGAAACUGAUCACGAUGGCAUCUUUAUCUCUGACUUCAGCCUUCAGAACUGUGAGAA